UCGACGUGACUACUUGUUCACUUUUUCGCGCGAGCACCCUUUUUCUGCGGAUAUUGAGUGCCGCGUUCAGCUUCGCUUUCGCGUAGCGCGGUAUAUCGAGCGCGACUAUUUUCUUGUCGCGAUUUAUAAUAAGCCGCCGCUUUUUGCCCGGCACGACCCCGGGUACGAAUAAUAACGCGCGCGAGUGAUUUCUUGUCAGUGUUCCAAGUAGCCUGGCGGCCUGAGAAAACUACUUGUCGGCUCGAAGGUCACCGUGAGUAUCGUCGAGUGUUCACGUCGAGUGUCCCAGAAUUACAUCGGACGUCCUUUUAGCUUCUGACAGACUCCACUACAACCAAUUUGAGGACAGUUUCUCCUUAGCGGGAAUGACGAGAGAAAUUAUUCCUCUUCUCCCCGAUCUUAUUGACGACGGGGCUCUCUCUCUUUUUCGCAGGUUGACAUUUUCGUCGAGGAAAACAAUGUCGUCCAGGGCAUCCACCACGGCGGAAAGGGCAACGGUUUCGGGGAUACUUCUAUAUUCUUAGCUAUAGCAGAGUUGUCGGACGAGGUGUCGGUCGACAACGAGAGAAGGAAGGAGGGAAUGAAACAUCGCGAUUAUUUACAUUCGCGAAUCCGGCGCGGCGAACACACACGACGAGGAUCAUUGUGACGCGGCGACACGUGCGUGCGACGACGCGAACGAUCGUCGGCACGAGCGCGACCGCGAUGGGAUUAAAAUGCAACGUCGAUGAGCGAAGGAAACGGCGACAGUAACAACGACGAUGACGAGAAUGCGUGUUUCUUCCACGGUCGAGGACAAAUUCGGCGGAUUCGCGCGUUCGUCAUUCGAGGCACGGCACGGCGCCGAAAAUAUUUUUACUACGCGGCACGCGUGCCGCAUGCGUCUCGACUCAUUAGCCGUGAGCUGGCCAUUGUUCUCACUAACCUACAGCACUGUGCCUCAUUAUCAUUUUUCACUCGUGACGGUAUUGUUAAAGGUCCCUCUUCCUCCCCCUCCUCGACGUCCCGACCCUCCAGUCACUCGCUCGCGCACUUUUACGGAAAUUAAACGCACCUGGUGCGCGCCGCACGAUUGUCACCCCGUACCGCGAGAAAUGCAAGAAUCAACCCUCAAUUCUGCUCCCUCUUCAUGCGACUGAGUUAGACCGUGCUUCAAAACGGCCUCGAUACAAGAACGCGAUCAAGGCAAAAAAAGUACAAAAUUCUCGGACUAACUCUGGACGUUAUUGUUGUUUUUUCGUCUUUAAAGCUACAAUAUAUAAAUUUUUGCUUCCUGUUUCUUUCUCUUUAUCUCUUUCUGUCUCAAGCCUUAAGCCAGAAAGAGAGAGAACAAGAAGUAGAAAGUAAAGAGCAUAUUGUAGGUUAAGCUUAAGGUUUUUAGUCCUCUGCAGCGGCUAUCUUGGCUUGCGACACGUCAAAAACGAGAAAAUAUAUAUUAAAAAUUCUUGUAAAGUACGUUGAAAUAAAGUGAUAUAUUUACAAAAUAAUAGCUAUAAUCAAUUGAGCACAGACUUGUAAAAUAGUCCGAGCACUUUCCUCUCACCCUGACAAUCGAUAAAUAGCCGUAAAGUUAAAGUGACAAAAUCGUGGGAGAAAGUAAGUCUAACAAGGAAGGUUGCAUGCCAUAUUUUAGAGUUAUUUAUCGAUUAAAUGAAUAAGAGGAAAGUAUUCAGACUAUUUUGUAAGUCCACUUGAUCGAUUGCAUUUUACGGAUAUAUCGUUUUACUUCAAUAUAUCUUGCAAAAAUUCUUAACAAAAAUUCUUCUCUAUCUUUUCGCUUCUGACGUCAUUAAUUAAGAGUUUCGCGACGAAGAGUUAGGAGCUUUAAAUACGUAUACUUAAACUUUCAAUAUAAAAUAUAUUCAAUUGCGUAUAUAUAUUUUAUAGAAAGUUUAAGUAUUCAUAAAUUUAAAUAUUUGUAGAAAGUUUAAAUAUUCGUAUUUAAAGAGCAAAACAAUGAAGAUGUACAGAAUUAGAUGUAUGUUUGGGUAUUGAUACAUUUUAUUUUAAUUUCUCUCGUGCAUUCGAAUCUCACCUCUCCAACCUAUAGGAAAUAAUCUGUUUUCUCGUGUAUGAAUUUAAAAAUAUCUGCGAUAACGCGAAUGAAUCGGGUGGACGCCUCGAGGGAGCAAUUUAAUCUAAUUGACG